rnacentral:rRNA from 1 species
GUCUAUGGCCAUACCACCCUGAAUGUACCUGUUCUUAUCUGAUCUCAGAAGCUAAGCAGGGUUGGGCCUGGUUAGUACUUGGAUAGGAGACUGCCUGGGAAUACCGGGUGCUGUAGGCU